CAAAACCACCCCUUCGUGAAAAAUUCAUCAAAAACUCAUUUCCGCCCGAACCCUUCUCAGUGAAAAACCUAGGCUCCAAAACUCAUGUCCGUGGACAAAAACCCAAAGCUUCAUCUCUUGUCCACCGCUACCAAGGGUCGGCGGCCUCCUCCACUUCAUCACCGCCGACCUCUCUCAUUCUCUUCCUCUACCCGAUUGGGAGAGGACAGGCUCCCUCUUCCGCCUCCAUCUCAUCCACAGCUGAUGCUAACGCACACAAUAGGAGCUUCAUCCCCGAAUUCGUCGGCCAUCUCAUCUCCUCUACUAUCAUCCUCAUCGCUAACGACAAGGUCUUCUCACAGAGCUUUUGGAUCUGAAAGCCAUCUCACAGUGCCUUCAUCCUCAGGCCACCACCUUCUCCCAAUUGGGAGAGGUGCCACCGUCGAACUCUACAUCACCCUCUCCUGAUUGGUAGAGGUUUCUUCACCACCACUAGUUUCCUUCCACCUCUUCAUUUUGGAUUUAAAGAGUAAAGCUUCAUCACUAGCCGGUAGCGCCUCUCCUCUUUCGACAACCCCUUUCUCUUCAGAUUUGAAAAGAAGGGUUCGUUCUCCAUCGAUGAGCAGUUCAUCCACAGCCUUCACAGGUAGAUUGGCCGUCGGAGAAUCUCCAUCCAGUAGCCCCCUCUCUACUUCAGAUUUGAAGAGGAGAGCUAUAUUCCAAUUCGUGUCUACGACAUUGGGUUAUUUCUAUCUAUGUUGGAUUGUGUUAUGCUUGUUGAUUGUUAAUUGUAACGUAACUAUUCUCCCAUAUUUAGAAUUGCAUGUAUUUUGCUUAAUUGAAUUCUCGCUCAUUAUGUGUUUGAUGAAAUGCCUCUUUCAUUAGUUAGUUUCUAAACUUGCAUCUUCUUUGGUUUGAAUUCUUGUGAUGGUUAGUUAGUUGAGUGUUUUAGGUUAGAUUAGAUUAGAUUAGUUCAAUUUUGAAAAAUUUAUUCAUGUGGAAGUUUAUUUUUAAUAUUUCCUAAAUUUCUGCGACUCAAAUUUAUUCAACUUUUCAAUUACCUUGCCUAGACUCAAAUUGCCUUGAAUGGAGUUCAAUUAGGUUGGUUAGGAUUCAUGUACCAAACACCAAAUACCUAGAGUUAGCUGGGCUUAUUGUGAUUUUGGAUAUCUCCACUAUUAAUUUCAUAAUUUUCAAGCAUGUAGUUAUGUAUAGCUUUUUUAGUUUUUUUAUUUUUGUUAAACCUAAUAUAUCUAGCAUGAUGCUUUUCCAUAGAUUGGCAAGACCUGUGGGGAGAAAUGGAAAACAAUUUCAUUUGAGGUUGGAUCUUGCAUAUUUUUAUACACCAAUGCAUAUGAUUUAGUUUUUUGGUAUAAGAAAAAUGCUAUAAUACAUAUAGACAUCUAUUUGCAAACGUGAAUGAUUCAAGGCAACUAAGACUAUGCAAGAGUUAGAAAGGCAUUGCUAUAUUGUAUGAGAUUGGAGACAGAGACAAGGCCAUUGCUGAGAUGGAGGAUGUAUCCAUUUCUCUAAAGGGAUACCCAGGUACUUCUUCAAGAUUAAUUUUAUGCUUCCUACAAUACAUGUUUUACAAGUUUUUAUAAGGGGUAUCUUUCAUCCCACAGAGAUACAUGCAGCUCUAGCUGUAUCAUUGUAUACUAACAAGCAUGCUGCACUCCUUGCUGAGAACCAGUUUACAAUUUCCACUCUUUUGGAUCCUCAUUAUACUGAUCUCUCAUAUGUCAGGGGAACUAAGCAUUGACCUUCGAACUUGAUCGAUUCCUUGUAGCAUUUCAUCACACUUUCCUAACAAGCUCCAAUAUCUUUCUUGGUUGAUAAAUGGUGAUGCAUUAAGUCUUUUUCAAUGCAGAUGUUAAUGGACCAGAAACAAAUUUUGUGUGCCACUUCUAAAGGACAUCAUAUCAUAGGUUUGUUCCGCCUUUGUACAACUUAUAGAAGUUCGACCAUCAUUCCUAGAGUGCCUUUGUAGAUAUUUUGAUGGUGAAUGGAGGUAUUCAGAACUCCAGCUAAAUAGCUCAGGUAUGGAUGAUUAUAGGAGCAACAACUACAUGCUAUGUGGCACUACAUCUGAACCUCAGGGGUGUGACUGGGAAGUACUUCGACGAAGAACUAUCAAGAAGGCUUUGGGAUUUAAUCGAGAAGAUGGUUAAAGUCAAUGAGUAAAGAACAUUCAAGUCAAGAGGAUAAGUAGCAACUAUCAAGAUCCUUUAAGUUCAUGCAAUAAGAUGUAAUCAAUAGGAGUAGUUUUGAGUGUCUCCUAAUUAAAAUUUCUUUGUAUGUAAGUAAUUAUGUUUGUUAUAGAAGUGUAAAGAUGAUAAUUUAUAUAUUUAU